AUUGAGGAGGGCGGAGUGGAAGGCACUUCGAUCAUUUCAUACCGAAACCAAUUUAUUUCCACCCUCCGCUUCCCGAACAAACAAAAAAUUUAGGCAAAAUUCAACACAUUUUGAUCUCGGUACCUUCAAUAAGGUUGGUUUCUUUUACUUGAAUUUGUAUUUCCGUAUUUGUUUUUCCUUUUAGAAAUUUUGUUAGAUGCGUAAUUUUUCGAUUUAAUUUUAUCGUUUUUUUUUAAAUUUUUUCAAUUUAGGUAAGGUCCUUAAAUACUGGAGAUAACGACAAGAGGGGUCUUUUUUUCGCGACGAAGCCGAAAAAACAUGUAGUAUAUAGGGAGUUACCUAGGUAACGUGGGUAAUUAAAAUGUUGUCUGAUAUUUUAAGUAGUAUAGUCUUUAAGAAUUACAAUAUCAGUACUGUACUGACAAAUGAAGGUAACUUUCAUAAUCCCAACAGGGAGACAAACGAAUAAAAAUGCAACUAAAUGUAAACAUAUAUGCGGGAGUGCAUAAAUUACGUUAGUUAGUUCCAAGUGCAAUUCCUGAGUGGAAAAAAUGAUAAAAUCAACACUGUCCAACGGUCUAUGCUUACAAGUAUUAAAAAAUACAUGCGCCAUAAGUCCCAGAACAGUUGCGCACCACUAGAGAAACAAGCAAAGAACUUAUUGGUCAUAAUGACAAUUUUUCUUCACUUCUGGUUUGUCCUUCACAAUUUUUAUUUUUGAAUAUACCCAAAAAAAAUAUGUUUAAAAUACCUACUAACCAGAAUUAUGUAAAAUAUACAGGUUGUUCUAUUUAAAGGAAUCGGAGGUGAAAAAAAUUGUCAAUAUGACCAAUGAAUUCUUUGCGUUUUACUCCAACUUUACCCUAAUUUUGAAAAAAAAAGGUUAAUGGACAACCGAGGUAUUUAACCGUUCCGGGACCUAUGGCGCACUUAUAUGUGUAUUUGUAGUUAAAAUUUCCUAUUCGAUCAUGCACUUGCCUUGAUUAAAAGUAGUCAAGAAAUUUAAUAUAGAUGUUACUUUUUGAAUAUAACGGCGCAUUUCACUGACAAUUAGAGUGAAAUAUUUUUAUAACGUACGGUUUCCGCUUUGUUAUUUGAGUGGACUUAUAUGAGUUUGAGUUUAAAGAGUACUGUGCACAAAAGUUAAUAAAUUGAGAGUUUUAGGUUGUAACGGUUGGUUGUGAUUUUGAAGUGUAGGGAUUUUGGUCACGUAUUAGUAUUGCUCGUAGUGUGAUUAUUGGUUUGCUUUGUCUUCGAGAGCCUUCGGAAUUUACACGAUUCGAGACCGGUCUGUAGAAGGAAAUGUCGGCUUUGUAAUUUUAUUGACACUUGGAAAGUUGUUGCUUGAUGGAAAUUGGUUAAAAAUUGGGAUAUCCGUUUGGUUUGACUUGCAGAAAUCAGUUUGUCUGGAUGCCGAUUGCCACGAGAUUGACCUUUUCUACAUCUAUAUGGUGCAUUUUGGGGUUACGCGGUAAUUUAUAUAGUUAUCGGAGUUAGUUGCAACAACUCGUGUUUAGCUAAUUUAUUUUAAGUCAUCCGCUUCUUACUAAAGGUAAGGAUUAUUCCGAAUUUGUGUCUGAUUGUUUCAAUGUUCCAUGUGAGGUUUAUUUGUAGCGGUUCUUGUUCCUGAAGUAAUCUUGGGAAGGGGUUUUUGUUAUAUGGUACCGUACCGAAUGAGGAUUUAAACGUUGGGAUAUGGAUUUAUGUAUGAUGUAACUUGCUUGCUAAGUGUUAAUCGCAGAGGACCUUGCGGGUUGUAGUUCAUGUCAAAUUGGGAGCUGAACUCCGUUGCUAAUAAUUAUUUGAAAGCAUCUCGUACUGAAGAUCACGCUUUUGAGAGAUUACGCUUUUGGAGAAUUUGUAUGCACCUUUUUGUACAAUUCGUAGCGUAAAUUGUUGUCAACUUAAUAAUGUGCCAAUUUGGAUAAUUACUAUGGAGUCACCGACAAAUCAAGUACCUAGAUAUCUUGUGUGUGUCUUAAGUUUAUUUACAUUGUUUUGGGUGAGUUCCAGUGGAUGCUUGCUGGAAAUUUUACUGUUAUAACUGUUCUAAGGUUUUCAAUACGGACCUUGAUUUUCAAUAGACUUUUAUUUGAUUUUUUUUGUUUAGUAGUUUAGUGACAGGUCUACUAUUUUUACGACGUGAGAACUCUCAAAAAGUCAUUACGAAAAUAGACACUUCCGUUAAAAACACUUUUCAUAAAAUUGUGUGCAGGUCGUACCUCACAGGCUGUAAUUAAAAAUUUAGCGGAUAAAUUUGAGUCAACAGCAGGAUCGGUACGCAACAUAACAUCAAGUGAAUGUGUUCUCUACCGGUCGUUGAAUUGAAAAUAUUGCUAGUUAAAGUUUUACUUAAGCUGAAUUCUACGGCGUUUAUAGCAAUCGGGGUAAUCCACAACCAUUAUUUUAUGCAAAAAUUUGGCUAUAAAGCCUUAUACAGUGCAGGUCAUUCAAAAACCGAAUUCACUUUUACUAUACCUUUACAUUUACAGUAUCGACAUUUUUUCAUCAUUGAACAAGAUGCUGUUAGAUUAAAAAAAUUGCUGCAUCUGGGCUUCAGGAAAUCCUAGAAAGCCUCUUAAACAACCUUUAGGUACAUUCAGAGUGUGUCACUGUGUGGUGGUUGGACUCCAGCCCCCUUCCUUCAGAGGUUUGGAAUUUCGGAUGGAAUUAUUGAAAUAACUUCCGAUGGGACACUGCAUUGAAACGACAAGUUUAACUAAUAGAGGAAAGGGUGCAAAUAUGGGCUGGUCUUGUAAUAUGGGCUAGAUACGUUUCUCAGCUAUUCGAUGCAGAUUUCUUCAUCUGACUAUUGCAAACGGUAAUUGGUGAAGUAAAAUUGUCACCGUAGCGAUGGCGCCACAGUGGUAGAUGUUUCACACUUUAUAAUAAAUGUUUGUCAGUUACUGUGAGUGUCAAAACUUUUUCGGGAUGUCAAGACAAGAGCUGAAAGAAGCGAAAAAAAGAAAACAAUGGGAUGAAAAAGAUAUGGAACGUGCGAUAAUAGCUGUCAGGCAGCAUGAAAUGGGUACGCUAAAAGUGUUCAGUAAUAACCGCUUCACCGUACAAAAAUGAAUUGAUCCAGUCGCUCAACAAAGUCAAAGGGAAACAAAAAGGUACAGAAGAAGACAAAGAAAACAGAAAAGGAA